rnacentral:rRNA from 1 species
UGAGUAACGCGUGGGUAACCUGCCUCAUACAGGGGGAUAGCAGCUGGAAACGGCUGGUAAUACCGCAUAAGCGCACAGUACCACAUGGUACAGUGUGAAAAACUCCGGUGGUAUGAGAUGGACCCGCGUCUGAUUAGCUGGUUGGCGGGAUAACGGCCCACCAAGGCGACGAUCAGUAGCCGACCUGAGAGGGUGACCGGCCACAUUGGGACUGAGACACGGCCCAG